rnacentral:misc_RNA from 1 species
UUAAAAAAUAAAAAUGAAAAAUAACCCAUAAAAGUUUGGGAUGGAUAAAUUUAAUAUGCAUAACUAAAUAUCAGAAAAAUUCAAGAAAGAGAUCUCAAUUAGAUGUUUUAGGAUAGGUUUCUUGCUUCUGAAAUUUACAAUUUUGGGUUUAUAUGCAUCCCCUGCUCAUCUUCCUUGUCUACUUUAUCUUCUCUCUUUCUAGUUCCUCACUGGAUUGUUGGGACCCCAUUUCAGGGAUGGGAACUAAACUUGAAUAUGCCUUCAAUCUUCUAGCACCUUCACCAAAUAGCACUAGCUUUAAUGUUCAUUGUGUGGAUGAACUUGACUAUUUGCAAACUAGAGAGCUGAACAUUAGCUUCCUAAUUACUGGACUUGACAAGCAUCACAGCUUGGCUUAUGACAAAAUGCCUGAAAAACAGAACUUAGAUUUCAUCAGAAAGACUAUGCAGAUGCAUGAAGAAACCUUCAAACAUCAGGUAAUUAAUCAAAAUUUCUAAUCUAAUUUUGACAUCUAGAAAAAUUCAGGUAAUUAUAUAUCAAUAAAAUCAUUUUGAAGAACUUGAAACUGUAACCAUUGCAGGUAAGGGAACUCCACAGGCUAUACAGUGUACAGAAGAUGUUAAUGGAUGAACAGGACAAGGAAAUUAAACAGAAUAAAAAGUACUGGAAUCCAAGGGAUACCAAUUACCUGUAUAGUUUGAACUUUCAAGGCUUCAGAGAUGAUCAUCCAAGCCCAAAGGAAAGAAGCGGCAGCUGCUCCGGUGAGACCAUGAGAAUGACUACAUUGGGAAUUGAUCUUGAGAGGCCUGCUGCAGAGGAAGAUAUAUCUACUGCUAUUAGUACUGCCAUUGAUGAUACUCGAGCUGCAGGGACUAGCUCUUUCAUCCCCUUGAAAGGGAACGAUAAAAUGAGCAUCGAUGGCUCGGACGAAGAAAGUGAAGUGGAGCUAACAUUAAGCAUCGGAAGGAGUAGCACCAGCAGCAAGAAGAUGAUCAUGUCGACAAAUCAAGAAAUGGGAUUCUCUGAACAAAUGCAUAAGCGUAUGAAGGAGCUUGAUUCUCCAGCAUCAGUCAAGUCCGAAAGAAGAGGAGAGGAUUGCAGCACUCCAACAACCCCAAUGAGCAGCUCUAGUGCAACAUUUGAUCAUGAAAGAAAACAGCCAAAUUGGCUUUUCCAAGGUUUAAGCAUAAACAGGACUUGAACUUUAAUUUCUGACUUGCAUCAGACUAUCAGUAUGUUAAACUAUUUUUACAUUGAGGACUUAUCAGAUGAAAUAUUCACAAUUUAGUUGCCAAAUUAAUCUGAUAAAUGCAUCAUUGAGGUGUACAUGGUUGUGAAUAGGACAUGUACAAAACUUUCUGUUGAAUUACAUUUCCAGUCCCCAUUUGCUUCUGUCUA